ACGGGCUGACGCCAGCAGGAAGGAGCCCCGACGCACUUUAUGCUGUCGUGAAAAGGCUCGUUCCUGCAGCUGGACAGAUGUUAUCUAUUAUCUGACCCAAGGUCUGCUCAGCGGUCUUAGCAAAGCGCUGGAGUCAGGGUGGGUUUAAAGCAGCCUCAGCAGCAGAGGAGGAGGAAAACGCCAGCCGGUCGCUGGCUUCCUGUCAGUGGAGCAGAGUGUCCCGUACAUUAAAGGUAAGAGAGCGCUGAGGAGCCAGAACACGACGGGACCAAACCAAGGAAAGUCCACUCUGCAGGAACCAGGAAAUGAUCAGAAGAAUCCUCCGUGUCAACACAGACACGUGGUCUGCACGCAUCCCACGCCCCACAGGAAGCCACGACUCCGAAAUGUCACUUCCUGUUGCAUGCAAGCGCUGCUGCUCGCAGCCCCAGAGCCAAUCAGGGCAUAAAAACCAAGACGACACGUUAGUACCGCAACAGUUACCGUCGUCGGGGCCUGAGACAGCGUCACCUCUGCUCUCACGCGUGCAGCUGCCUCGUGUCCUCGGUCCCUGACGACCAAUUAGGAGAGACAGGUGCUGCCACAACAGACAUCUGAGCACACGACGGAGGCGCUCGCUGGGGGGAGAGACGGGGACUGCGUUCGGCCUCAUCGCUGAGGUAUUUAAAGCUGCGAUGCGUCGACGUCAUCACGCGGUCCUGACGAAGGCACAGGGCUGAGCAGCGCCGCAGGAAAACAGCUGAUGCUCCUAGAAACUGGCAGUGACAGAGGAUGCGUCCCCACUGCUUUGAUGAUUCAUCUUACUUUUUCUCCAAUUUCUUUUUGCACAUUACCUAAUGUUGAUGUUAUUCAAUAAAUAUAAUAGUUUUAUAUUAUUCAACUGAA